GGAAGAGUACAGGCCAGCAUGAGAGAUAGGAGUUACCACGUAAACGUGAGUUUACAUACCAGGUAGCAAGAUCACGCUAGGGGAUAAUUUUACCAUCAGCAACAGCAUUUGUGAUUGUGUCAAUGGUCAGGAUAAAUGUCAUCACAAAGCCUCGCUUUUAUUAUAUGGCUACAAGAAUGUUAGCAAG